UGGAGAGUUUGAUCCUGGCUCAGGACGAACGCUGGCGGCGUGCUUAACACAUGCAAGUCGAACGGAAAGGCCCAGCUUGCUGGGUACUCGAGUGGCGAACGGGUGAGUAACACGUGGGUGAUCUGCCCUGAACUUUGGGAUAAGCCUGGGAAACUGGGUCUAAUACCGGAUAUGACCUUGGAGUGCAUGCUCUGGGGUGGAAAGCUUUUGCGGUUCAGGAUGGGCCCGCGGCCUAUCAGCUUGUUGGUGGGGUAAUGGCCUACCAAGGCGACGACGGGUAGCCGACCUGAGAGGGUGAUCGGCCACACUGGGACUGAGACACGGCCCAGACUCCUACGGGAGGCAGCAGUGGGGAAUAUUGCACAAUGGGCGCAAGCCUGAUGCAGCGACGCCGCGUGAGGGAUGACGGCCUUCGGGUUGUAAACCUCUUUCACCAGGGACGAAGCGCAAGUGACGGUACCUGGAGAAGAAGCACCGGCCAACUACGUGCCAGCAGCCGCGGUA
rnacentral:rRNA from 1 species